AUGCUCUGGUUUCUCUUCAUCUUACGAGCUAAUCUUUCGCCUUUUACUAAAGAUUACCGUGGAGAGGAACAUUACAAUGAGCUUUAAUUGAAUUUUUGGAAUCCCACCCAAGAGGUGGGUU
rnacentral:snRNA from 1 species